CAGCAGCCGCGGUAAUACGGAGGAUGCAAGCGUUAUCCGGAAUUAUUGGGUUUAAAGGGUGCGUAGGCGGGAUAAUAAGUCAGUGGUGAAAGUCUGCAGCUCAACUGUAGAAUUGCCAUUGAUACUGUUGUUCUUGAGUGCUUGUGAAGUGGUUAGAAUGAGUAGUGUAGCGGUGAAAUGCAUAGAUAUUACUCAGAAUACCGAUUGCGAAGGCAGAUCACUAACAAUACACUGACGCUGAUGGACGAAAGCGUAGGUAGCGAACAGGAUUAGAUACCCUGGUAGUCUACGCCGUAAACGAUGGUUACUAGCUGUUCGGACUAAUUGCGGUCUGAGUGGCUAAGCGAAAGUGAUAAGUAACCCACCUGGGGAGUACGUUCGCCAGAAUGAAACUCAAAGGAAUUGACGGGGGCCCGCACAAGCGGUGGAGCAUGUGGUUUAAUUCGAUGAUACGCGAGGAACCUUACCAGGGCUUAAAUGCAGUUUGACAGGGGUGGAAACACCUUUUUCUUCGGACAAAUUGCAAGGUGCUGCAUGGUUGUCGUCAGCUCGUACCGUGAGGUGUCAGGUUAAGUCCUAUAACGAGCGCAACCCCUUUGGUUAGUUACCAGCAUGUAAUGAUGGGGACUCUAGCCAUACUGCCAGUGUAAACUGUGAGGAAGGUGGGGAUGACGUCAAAUCAUCACGGCCCUUACGUCCUGGGCUACACACGUGCUACAAUGGUAGGGACAGAGAGCAGCCACUGGGUGACCAGGAGCGAAUCUACAAACCCUAUCACAGUUCGGAUCGCAGUCUGCAACUCGACUGCGUGAAGCUGGAAUCGCUAGUAAUCGCAUAUCAGCCAUGAUGCGGUGAAUACGUUCCCGGGCCUUGUACACACCGCCCGUCACACCAUGGGAGUUGGGUUUACCCGACGGCCGUGCGCUAACCCCUUGGGGGAGGCAGCGUCCUAGGGUAGAACUAGUAACUGGGGUGAAGUCGUAACAAGGUAGCCGUA
rnacentral:rRNA from 1 species